rnacentral:lncRNA from 1 species
UUUCGAGAGAGAGUGAGAGAGUGCAUGUGUGCUGGUGUGGGUGGUGGUACCAAGGGAGAGAGAGAAUCUUAAGCAGGCUCCAUGCUCAGAGUGGAGCCUGAUGUAGGGCUCUAUCUCAUGACCCUGAAAUCAUGACCUGAGCCAAAAUCAAGAGUCAAACACUUAACCUGCUGAACCACUUAGGUGCCCCAGGCCCUCCCAACUAAAAUAAAAAUAAACAUUGUUUUAGAGCACUUUUAGCACCAUAGCAAAAUUGAGUGGAACUAUAUAGAGUUCCCAUAUCUCCUUAUCUCCACACAUACACAACUUCCCUCCUAUCCAUAUCCUACACCAAAGUGGUAAAUUUGCCAUAAUCAGUGAACCAACAUUGACGCAUCAUUAUAUCCAAAGUCCAUAGUUGACAUUAGUCACUUAGUGUUAUAAAUUUUAUGUGUAUAAGGUAUACAAAUGUAUAAUGACAUGUAUCGUACAGUUAUAGCAACAUACAGAGCAUACUUAUUUAUCUACUUACCUUCUGAAAGACAUCAUGGUUACUUCCACUUUUAGCAAUUGUUAAUAAAGUUGCUAUAAAGAUCUGUAUGCAAGUUUUUUGUGUGGACAUAUUUUCACUAGGGUAAAUAACAAGGAGUGUGGUUGCUAGAAUGUAUGGUAAUAGUAUUUUUAGUUUUGUAAGGAACUGCCAAACUGUCUUCCCAGGUGACUGUGUUAUUUUGCAUUCCCACCAGCAUUUGGUGUUCUCAGUGUUUUGGAUUUUGGCUAUUCUAAUAGGUGUGUAAUGGUAUCUCAUUGUUUUAAUUUGUAAAUCCCUAAUGACAUAUGAUGUUGAAAAUCUUUUCAUAUUCUUGCCAUUUGUACAUCUUCUUUGGUGAGGUGUCAUUGAAGUUUUUUAAUUGAGUUGCUCAUUUUCUUAUUGUUGAGUUUUAAUAGUUCUUUGUAUGUUUUGGAUAACAGUUGUUUAUCAGAUGUCUUUUGCAAAUGUUUUCUCUAAGAUUGUAGCUUGUUAUCUCAUUCUCCUGACAUUGUCUUUUGGAAAGUAGAAGUUUUUAAUUUUCAUGACUUCUAUCUUUACAAUAUUUCUUUCAUAAAAAUGCCUUUGGUGUUGUAUUUAGAAAGCCAUCAUCUUGGGAUGCUUGGGUGGCUCAGCGGUUUGGCACCUGCCUUCAGCCCAGGGCAUGAUCCUGGAGACCUGGGAUCAAGUCCCACAUUGGGCUCCCUGCAUGGAGCCUGUUUCUCCCUCUGCCUGUGUCUCUGCCUCUCUCUCUCUCUGUGUCUCUCAUGAAUAAAUAAAAUCUUAAAAAAAAUAAAAAAGAUAAAAAGCCAUCACCAUACUCAAGUCAUCUAUGUUAUUUCUAGGGGAUUAUAGUUUUGCAUUUCACACUUAGGUCCAUGAUCCAUUUUGAGUCAUUUUUUUUGUGUGCAGGGUGUAAGGUCUGUGUCUUGGUUCAUUUUUUGCAGAAUGUCCAGUUUUUCCAGCAUUAUUUGUUGAAAAGACUAAGUUUACUCCAUUGGAUUGCCUUUGUUCCUGUCAAUGACCAGUUGACUCUAUUUAUGUGGGUCUGUUUUCAGACUCUAUUCUGAUUUGUUUGUCUCAUCUUUCACCAAUACUAAAGUACUUAUUACUGUAGCUUUAUAGUAGGUCUUGAAACUGGGUACUGUCAGCCCUCCAAUUUUAUUAUUCUUCAAUAUUAAGUUGGCUGUUCUGGGUCUUCUGCCUCUCCAAAUAAACUUUAGAUUCAGUUUGUCAAUAUCCACAAAAUAAUUUGCUGAUAUUUUGGCUAGAAUUGCACCGAGUCUAUAGAUUAAGUUGGGAAGAACUGGCAUCUUGACAAUAUGGAGUCCUUCUAUCCAUGAACAUGGAAUUUUCCAUUUAUUCAGGUUUUUUUUUUAUAUAUAACUUUCAUCAGAGUUUUGUAGUUUUCUUCUUAUAGGUCUUGUACAUAUUUUGCUAGGUUUAUAUUGAAGUAUUUUAUUUGAAGGAGUGAUAAUGUAAGUGAUAAAUAUAUUUUCAAUGUAAAUUCUACUUGCGUAUUGCUGGUAUAUAAGAAUGUGAUUGACUUUUUUAUACUAACCUUGUAUCUUGCAACCUUGCUAUAUUCACUUAUUAGUUCAGGCGUCUUUGUCCAUUUAUUCAGAUUUCCUAUGUAGACAAUCCAUCUCUCCUUCUCCCUCUGC